AAUCAGCGCUUCGAACUCCUUGAUUUUAGACCAAAAAGACUGAAUUCAGGCUUCUGACCUCCAGAACUCCAAGACCACGCUGUUCUUGAGAGAUACAGGAGAGAACAGAACUCCAUGUCCCAUCUAAGAAAGCUCAACAAUAUGAGUCUUUAAAGGAACUUUAAAGAAUGAGUGGAGAGAAACAAGACU